AUUUCUUUUAUAUUUAUAUAGUUUAAAAAACAUUACAUUUUCAUUGUAAAAUUAAAUAUUUAUUAUUUUAUAA
rnacentral:tRNA from 1 species